UAGAUGGCGACCGGCGCACGGGUGAGUAACACGUAUCCAACCUGCCGAUGACUCGGGGAUAGCCUUUCGAAAGAAAGAUUAAUACCCGAUGGCAUAGUUCUUCCGCAUGGUGGAACUAUUAAAGAAUUUCGGUCAUCGAUGGGGAUGCGUUCCAUUAGGUUGUUGGCGGGGUAACGGCCCACCAAGCCUUCGAUGGAUAGGGGUUCUGAGAGGAAGGUCCCCCACAUUGGAACUGAGACACGGUCCAAACUCCUACGGGAGGCAGCAUG
rnacentral:rRNA from 1 species